rnacentral:rRNA from 1 species
UACGUAGGGUCCGAGCGUUGUCCGGAGUUACUGGGCGUAAAGCGCACGUAGGCGGAUCGUUAAGUCGGGGGUGAAAUCCUGGAGCUCAACUCCAGAACUGCCUUCGAUACUGGCGAUCUUGAGUCCGGAAGAGGUGAGUGGAACUCCUAGUGUAGAGGUGGAAUUCGUAGAUAUUAGGAAGAACACCAGUGGCGAAGGCGGCUCACUGGUCCGGUACUGACGCUGAGGUGCGAAAGCGUGGGGAGCAAACAGG